AUGUCCCAUUAUCCUUUCGAUCAUAGUUUUCACCCUGGGAUGAGCAGAUGUCUUCUGAGGCUAGCCACUGAUUUCAGGAUGGACAAUAGGAUAGUUCCAUGGGACGAACUCACCGGUAGUGCCACCAUAAUGAAUGAGUUGGCCCACGAAUUACAUAGGUCUGGCUGGCCUGAAAGGACUUAUGAGGAGGUACGUACUGAACUUCUUAGGUUGCAUGAAAGGUUGAAAAAGGUAGUGGAGCCGAAGAGUGAAACUUUCAGAAUGAUUGCAACAAAGCAUCCAUUUUUAUGGACUGAAGAAAGCGAGGACAACGAUGAUAUCUUCAUGUUGCCACUUCCGGGUUCUGCAUCCUCGAAGGCAAGAAUUCUGCAUCAUCCAAGGGAAAGAGUUCCGCGUCCUUGA
rnacentral:rRNA from 1 species